rnacentral:rRNA from 1 species
GAUGAACGCUAGCGGCAGGCCUAAUACAUGCAAGUCGAACGAUAGAAGAGAGCUUGCUCUCUUUGAAAGUGGCGCACGGGUGCGUAACGCGUAUGCAACCUACCUUAAUCAGGGGGAUAGCCCGAAGAAAUUCGGAUUAACACCGCAUAAAAUCACAGUACAGCAUUGUACAAUGAUCAAAUAUUUAUAGGAUUAAGAUGGGCAUGCGUGACAUUAGCUAGUUGGCGGGGUAACGGCCCACCAAGGCGACGAUGUCUAGGGGAUCUGAGAGGAUGACCCCCCACACUGGUACUGAGAAACGGACCAGACGCCUACUGGAGGCAGCAGUAAGGAAUAUUGGUCAAUGGAGGGAACUCUGAACCAGCCAUGCCGCGUGCAGGAAGACAGCCCUCUGGGUCGUAAACUGCUUUUAUUCGGGAAUAAACCUACUUACGUGUAAGUAGCUGAAUGUACCGAAGGAAUAAGGAUCGGCUAACUCCGUGCCAGCCGCCGCGGUAA